rnacentral:rRNA from 1 species
GUCCACGCCGUAAACGAUGUCAACUAGUCGUCGGGGACUUCGGUCUUUGGUGGCGCAGCUAACGCGUGAAGUUGACCGCCUGGGGAGUACGGCCGCAAGGUUAAAACUCAAAUGAAUUGACGGGGGCCGCACAAGCGGUGGAGCAUGUGGUUUAAUUCGAUGCAACGCGAACAACCUUACCUACCCUUGACAUCCUCGGAACUUUCCAGAGAUGGAUGGGUGCCUUCGGAACCGAGAGACAGGUGCUGCAUGGCUGUCGU